UACGUAGGGUGCGAGCGUUGUCCGGAAUUAUUGGGCGUAAAGAGCUCGUAGGCGGUGUGUCGCGUCGGCCGUGAAAACCUGCAGCUUAACUGUGGGCUUGCGGUCGAUACGGGCAUCACUGGAGUUCGGCAGGGGAGACUGGAAUUUCUGGUGUAGCGGUGAAAUGCGCAGAUAUCAGGAGGAACACCGGUGGCGAAGGCGGGUCUCUGGGCCGAUACUGACGCUGAGGAGCGAAAGCGUGGGGAGCGAACAGG
rnacentral:rRNA from 1 species